AUAACAUUUUUUUUUUUAAUUAGAGUUUAGGGAUGACAAAUGAGCUCCAUGCAAACUUUUAGGAACAGAAACAAUAUUUUAGCAUAAAAUUAAUUAUUGAUUGGGUUUAUAAUGAUCAAAUCUCAAUUUCUUCAUCAGAACACUGGGUUAAGUCAAAGUCUGUUUUACCAUUUCCAAUUUCAUGUACGCGUAACUAUGAAUUUAUAUACUUUUAAGUCAAAGUCUUCGAUUAACAUGUUCAAUAUGGAUUCUUCUCCAAAAAAAAAAAAAAAAAAUGACCAAGCUAAUAUCAUCCUCAGGACCUCAGAUAACCAUAACCACUGUAAAAUCAACUACUCUCACAAAAACUCCAUAAGAAUGUUUCUCUCUCAAAAGAUUCUCUUCCAACUCUCUCUUCUCUUACUUCUCCAUUUCUCUCCACUUGUCCUUCUCUCAUUAGCUUACACUGUUCCUGAUAAGUAUUUCAUCAACUGUGGAGCAAGUUUCAACACCACCAUCAAUGAUAGCAGGGUCUUUGUUGGUGACCAAAAUUCCUGUUCAUUCUCAACUGGAGAAAGUGAACAUGUCAUGAGCAGCAACUCAUCAAUAGGGACUCCACUUCUCUAUCAAACAGCAAGAGUUUACAGGCAGCCGUGUUCAUAUAAAUUUGAAAUCAACCAGAAUGGAGAUGGAGGCAAUUACUGUGAUCUGCCGUAUCAUGUUCUACAUACAAUCUAUAGAAUCAAUGUUGGAGGUCCCAUCAUUGAACAUGAUGAGUUGUGGAGGAAAUGGAUACCAGAUGGUAGUUACUUAUUCAAUCCCCCAGAAGCUGCAACGAAUGUGUCUUAUAUUGGAGAGCCAGAACAGGUCACUAAGUAUAUUGCCCCAGCUCUUGUGUAUCAGACAGCCAGACUACUGAAUGUAGACAAUAGCAGCAAUUCCAGUUUCUUAAAUUUAUCUUGGAGUUUUCCUGUCACAAAGAAUGCUACACACCUUGUUCGGGUUCAUCUCUGUGACAUAGUAACCAAACCAACUAAUGGCUUGUGGUUCCCUUUUGACUUGUGGUUUAAUCUCUCAAUCUAUAGAAACUUUGGUAAGAGGAUUGAUCCAUAUUUAAUAUCUCAUGAGUUGGAUGCACCAUUUCACUUUGAUUUUGCGGUUGACUCAGAUGAUUCAGGAUUUCUAAAUGUUAGUAUAGUCCCACGGCAGGACUCUCCCAUGCAUUAUGCCUUUUUGAAUGGGUUGGAGAUUAUGGAGUUCAUGAAGGAAUCGGGUUCCAUUCCCAAGGAAUGUGAAUCAAAGAAAUACUCAUGCAAAAUAAAAGAAUCAAACAAGAACCACUCAAGUAAAUGCCCCCCUGUAGUAAUUGUUCUUGUAAGUAGUGGGGCAUUUGUCAUUAUGACUAUAGUAGUGGUGUUGGGUUUGAAAUGCAGGAAAGGAAUGUCUGAUCAAAGUUCGGCAGUGCUUCUUUAUGGAGGGACAAGUUAUAACAAGAAGUUAACUGAAAGAAGUGUUAAUGCGUCCCUCCCUCCUAAUCUAAACCUCAGUCUAAGGAUAUCUUUUGCUGAGAUAAAGUAUGCAACUAAGAACUUCGAUGCAAAGUUUUUGGUUGGUGAGGGUGGAUUUGGGAAAGUAUACAAAGGAACUCUUCGGAGUGGAAUGAAAGUGGCUGUAAAAAGAAGUGAACCAGGCCAUGGGCAGGGUCUCAAGGAAUUCCAAACGGAGAUCAUAAUCUUAUCUCAAAUCCGCCAUCGCCAUCUUGUUUCUUUGAUAGGGUACUGUGAUGAAGGGUCUGAAUUGAUAUUGGUGUAUGAGUUCAUGGAAAAGGGGUCUCUAAGAGAUCAGCUCUAUCAUUCAAAUGGCAAUCCUGAGAGAUCAUCUUCGCGUUUUGAAUUAUCUUGGAAGCAAAGACUUGAAAUUUGCAUUGGUGCAGCAAGGGGUCUACAUUAUCUACACACUGGCCCAGCUGGAGGGAUCAUUCACCAUGAUGUGAAGUCAACAAACAUUUUGCUCAAUGAAAAUUAUGUGGCUAAAGUUGGUGACUUUGGCCUUUCAAAGUCAGGCCUUUCUGAUCCAGAUCAUUUCACCAUGGGUGUAAAGGGCAGCUUUGGUUAUCUUGAUCCAGAAUACUUUAAGACCCUACGGUUUACAGAAAAAUCUGAUGUGUACUCUUUUGGAGUAGUACUUCUUGAAGUUCUUUGUGCUAGACCAGCUGUUGACAACUCGCUUCUAAGGGAGGAGGCGAGCUUGGCUGAAUGGGGGAUGCUGUGGCAAAGGAAAGGCCAACUUGAGAAAAUUAUUGAUCCAUUGCUGCUUGGUAAAAUCAAGGCUAGUUCUUUGAAAAAGUUUGCUGAAAUUUCUGAGAAGUGUCUGAAGGCAAAAGCUGCUGAGAGGCCUGAUAUGCAUGAGGUGUUAUGGGACUUGACAUAUGCACUGCAGCUUCAAGAAAUUACAAUUGACAGAGAGCCACAUGAAGAUGGUUCAACAAAUACUUCAUUGGAGUUACAGUUGCCUGUUAUUUGUCAUUUGCCUUCCACUAGAACCCUGAUUGAGGAGGAUGAUGAUGCACAGAUUAAAGAGGAUGAUGGUUCAAAUACAACAGCUAGUGAAGUCUGAGCCCCAGUUGAGGAUUGAUGGUGCCAGAUAGUCUCCACUAGUUUUAGGUACAUAAUAGUUCAUAGGUUCUGUUUGUGGCUUCUCAUCACCAUAAAAUUGUAAUAUUAUUGUAGUACUGAAUAUGAGUUUCAAUUUGUGUUA